GACGAAGGGGGCUAGCGUUGUUCGGAAUUACUGGGCGUAAAGCGCGUGUAGGCGGUUGUUCAAGUCAGGUGUGAAAGCCUUGAGCUCAACUCAAGAAAUGCACUUGAUACUGGAUGACUAGAGGACCGGAGAGGAUAGUGGAAUUCCCAGUGUAGUGGUGAAAAUACGUAGAGAUUGGGAAGAACACCAGUGGCGAAGGCGGCUAUCUGGACGGUUUCUGACGCUAAGACGCGAAAGCGUGGGGAGCAAGCAGGAGU
rnacentral:rRNA from 1 species